UGGUGAACUGUCAGCUGGACUCAGGAAACAAGGCCGACCAAAGAAAAGCUUCAAGGAUCAGCUCAAGUCCAACUUGAAGUGGGCUGGCAUGACACCAAAGCAACUAGAACUCACUGCCUCUGACAGAAGCAGCUGGCGAACCCACAUUCAGCAUGCCGCCACCACCUUUGAAGAUGAGCGACGUCGAUGUCUUGCUGCUGCGCGUGAACGCCGACACCAGGCCACAACCGCACCUCCCGUAACAACUGGCGUCCCAGGCCCCAUGUGCCACAGGCUCUGCGGCUCAGCCUUUGGACUCCAAAGCCACAUGAGGCAAGAAGAGGGGCUGCAGGAGAAUCAGAGAUAUAGCAGAAACGAAGAUUUAAGAUUGAGAAGAAUAAAAGAGGAGUCUCAAAACAAUGAAGAGCAAUCCCAAGGGAGAAGAGUUUUUACAGACUUGCAUUCUUGCAGAAAAGUAUCCUUCCUGAACCCAAGGGAUACACCUCUUCACCCCCACAACAGCCCUUUCUCUAAACAAGACAGAAGACCAUUGCCACAAAAACUGAAUCACUACAGAACUUUAAAGUGAUGUAUAUCUAAUCAGAGGUAGACAUACCUAGCUGAAGAUUAAUUCAGGAUGUGGAAAAAUAAACUUAAAACUAAUGACCCCA
rnacentral:lncRNA from 1 species